UGCAAUAUGAUGUAAUUGGUUAACAUUUUAGGGUCAUGACCUAAUUAUAUACGUUCAAAUCGUAUUAUUGCUAAUAAA
ensembl:tRNA Mitochondrial formylated methionine tRNA (tRNA-fMet); predicted by tRNAscan-SE analysis